rnacentral:lncRNA from 1 species
GGCAGUGAGACGGAGUGAGACAGAGAAAUGAGAUGAAAGAGAACGUUGAAGUUCCUAUGAAACAGGUCAAGGGAAAAACAGGAAGUGAAAAUUUCAAAUCUAAACCUCUGCAGUGACGUCACAAAUUCGAUUUAAAAAAAAAAAAACAACCAAUCCCCUGCUGACACCUGAUAGUGUCAAAAUGGUGUUAAUAUUUUAAUGUCAAAAUAUCGGGACGGAAAGUUUAUAUUGUAAUUGGAUCUAAGCAAGUUGAUCCAAAUAUGGGAGAUAUUUCAUAGAAAAUAAAAAUUAAAAAAAAACUUAAACCAAAAUAACAUUGGAAUAUGCUUCCCUCCUUGC